rnacentral:rRNA from 1 species
UACGUAGGGCGCAAGCGUUGUCCGGAAUUAUUGGGCGUAAAGAGCUCGUAGGCGGUUUUGUCGCGUCUGCUGUGAAAAGCCCGGGGGCUCAACCCCCGGGGUCUGCAGUGGGGUACGGGGCAGACUAGAGUGCAGUAGGGGGAGACUGGAAUUCCUGGUGUAGCGGUGAAAAUGCGCAGAUAUCAGGAGGAACACCGAUGGCGAAGGCAGGUCUCUGGGGCUGUUACUGACGCUGAGGAGCGAAAAGCAUGGGGGAGCGAAACAGGAUUAGAUACCCCCCGUAGUC